UUACGGCCAUAUCACGUUGAAACACCGGCUCUCCUACGAUCAGCGAAGUUAAGCAAUGUCGAUCCUAGUUAGUACCUAGAUGGAAAACCGCUUGGGAAUAUCAGGUGCU